GUGUCAGCCGCCGCGGUAAUACGGAGGGUGCGAGCGUUAAUCGGAAUCACUGGGCGUAAAGGGCGCGUAGGCGGCUUGUCAAGUCAGGUGUGAAAGCCCACGGCUCAACCGUGGACGAGCAUCUGAAACUGUCAGGCUCGAGUACCGGCGGGGAAGGUGGAAUUCCCGGUGUAGAGGUGAAAUUCGUAGAUAUCGGGAGGAAUACCGGUGGCGAAGGCGACCUUCUGGACGGGUACUGACGCUGAGGCGCGAAAGCGUGGGGAUCAAACAGGAUUAGAUACCCUGGUAGUCCACAGCCGUAAACGAUGUGCACUAGAUGUAGGGAGGUGUUGACCCUCUCUGUGUCGGAGCUAACGCAUUAAGUGCCCCGCCUGGGGAGUACGCUCGCAAGGGUGAAACUCAAAUGAAUUGACGGGG
rnacentral:rRNA from 1 species